CGGGCCGAGAGGCGCUGCGACGGGGUUCCCCCGCCACGCUCGGCCCGCGGGACUUCGGACGAAGGGCGCCUCCUGGUU
rnacentral:ncRNA from 2 species